AACACAGACCCUGCAAACAACUAUCUUCCUUCCCUGCCUCCGAGAAAGAUUCAUUCAUAUUGUUGUGGCUGAGAGGCUCUUCCUACCUGUCUCUUCUCUCCCUGCCUGCUGUGUGCCUUGAAUAUUGAUGGAGAUCUGUCUCUUCCUGCUGAAAGAAGCCCAGAACCGGCUUACACGAGGAGGAUCUGCAAAUGCACCAGGCGAGGUCAGGAGGCACGCAAGUAUCUUCUGCCCUAAGCAGAACAAUUAUUCUUGUUUGGUGAAGACUAGAAGUGAUGCUUGUUCCCUAGAAAAAGGAACUAUUCUGCUGUCCCCAAGCCGGACCAAGCCUGCAGUAAGGCUCACUGCAGGGAGCACGUGGCCAGCGGCUCCGACUUCGGCAGACCUUCGCGUGUAGGCGCUCCCCAGUAAUUUUAAUCAAAGGCUCAAGCAUCACUUAUCUGAAGACUAAUGACUCAACUCAAUAAGAGGACAAACUUUGAAGAGCUUGCAUUUGAGCCAGGAGGAGUGAAAAAAGAGAAUCUACUGUGUUGGGAGAUCUGCUGAGAAAGAUGCAAAUUGAAAUCCUGAUCACGACAUGGGAGCUGAGACCAAAACUGCCAGGCCAGGAUGUUACAGCUGCUAUUGCAGUUGCUUCUUCUAACGGCAUCUCCUCGUGUGGGAGGAGAACCAAUUUCCUCCUGAUGAAAGAGCACAGACUCAUUGCUCCUCCUGUCUUCAAGCUCUUGCUUUUGUCACAGGGGUGACAAAAAAAAAAAAAAAAAAAAAAAAAGAAAAAAGAAGGGGGACACUGAGCAAGGCCUGGCCUUCAAGAGGUUUUAGCCAUUUCCACCAGGCACUUGGCAUGCUCACCUAGAUGCAGCUGUAGACGGCCACGCUCAGUGCCGAUUCAGCGUAGGUCUGUUUUGGGCAGGUGGCUUCCUUGCAGGGUUGCAGGAUCUCUGGGUCAUUCUGCAACCUCUGGCCUUGCUGGGGGAAGAGGAGGGAGUAUGUUCCCCUCACCCUGCUCUUCUCCUCCCUUCUCUGUAUUACUGACUCUUUUUGCAGGGAGGCCGAUAAGAUCAUCUGGAUGUGGGGGCCUGCACAGGGGGUAUUUUGCAGGCAUUAGAUACAGCCUUGGCGGCAGCAUCCAGCGAGGUGCUGUGUCUGCAGUGCGAGGACCUCACCAACGUGGUACUGCCUGAGCCACGCAGGGAAAGAGGACUUCCUUUCAAAGCCAAAGCCAUGCAAGCACUACUUUUAAAAGCCAUUGAAACUAAAAUGCUAAAUGCUCUGAAAGUGGCUGUGCUUUUGCAGUGACAUGUCGCUGCUAUUUCACUGCGGUUUUCUAGAUUCCCCUCUCCGGGCCUCUUUGCACAUUGCAGUAAGAAGCUCUCUGGCUUCACAUUUUGGUGUUCCCAACUUUUGCCUGUGGGCUCCCGUCUUCCUCUUCAGGAGCGGCUGCAGUUUAGGGGUGAUUUACGGCUGUUGGCAAGUCAAAACCAGUGGGAGCUCCUGGGAUGGAAACGGCUGCCUGAUUCGCCAUAACGAUAAAGAUGAGCCAAACGCAUCCAACAACGCCAGAUGGUUGUGGCGUAUCUAUCACAGUGGAUCUCUGAGCAGAUGGAUGCUAUAUAAACAUUUCACAACUGUGUUAUUAUUAUUGACGCAAUUACAAUUAAUACUAUUUACAAGUAUUCUAUUAACAUAAACACAGCACUGUAAGAAUGAACGCAAAGCGUAUUUAGCAUGAUUACUCAUCUAAUGGCUUCUAACAGUAAUACUAUCUGCUAUUACAACUUAUGAGGCAAUAGUAACAUGUCUUGUUUUCCGAAGGAUGACAUGUUUGGGAAAAGGUUAGGGAAGGCUGUGGGAAUUGGCGAGGUUGCCCAGCUUCAGAGCAAAUUGUACUGUCAUUGCACAGGAGACAGAAAGCUGGGGAUGUUAACGAAUUGUGGGUCUCGGGAGAGGCAGGCAGCAGCUUGGGGUUUCGGCUGUAUUUGGCCCUUAUGGCUCUCUCCCGGCUGUCUUUGGACCAGGCUUCCCAGCUUCCCAGGCCCUGAAUCCAGGGCAGCCAGAGCAGCCAGACUAGAGCCAUUUGGAGUGUAUGGUUUGUACCUCAGUGCAAAAGAAAAAGCAUUAAUUGAGGGAAUCUCAGACCUGCUACUUGCCUGCGCUCUCGUUUUAACUCUGCUUCUGACCUGCUGUGACUUUCCAUAAAUCUCUGUGCCUCCGUC